ACAAUGGGCGCAAGCCUGAUGGAGCAACACCGCGUGAGUGAAGAAGGGUUUCGGCUCGUAAAGCUCUGUUGUUAAAGAAGAACACGUAUGAGAGUAACUGUUCAUACGUUGACGGUAUUUAACCAGAAAGUCACGGCUAACUACGUGCCAGCAGCCGCGGUAAUACGUAGGUGGCAAGCGUUAUCCGGAUUUAUUGGGCGUAAAGAGAGUGCAGGCGGUUUUCUAAGUCUGAUGUGAAAGCCUUCGGCUUAACCGGAGAAGUGCAUCGGAAACUGGAUAACUUGAGUGCAGAAGAGGGUAGUGGAACUCCAUGUGUAGCGGUGGAAUGUGUAGAUAUAUGGAAGAACACCAGUGGCGAAGGCGGCUACCUGGUCUGCAACUGACGCUGAGACUCGAAAGCAUGGGUAGCGAACAGGAUUAGAUACCCUGGUAG
rnacentral:rRNA from 1 species